rnacentral:rRNA from 1 species
CGAGGUGGCAAGCGUUGUUCGGAAUCACUGGGCGUAAAGGGUGCGUAGGCGGUUGGUCAUGUUCGGUGUGAAAUCCCACGGCUUACCCGUGGAACUGCAUCGAAAACUGGCUGACUUGAGUACAGGAAGGGAGAGCGGAAUUCCCGGUGUAGCGGUGGAAUGCGUAGAUAUCGGGAGGAACGCCAGUGGCGAAAGCGGCUCUCUGGCCUGCAACUGACGCUGAGGCACGAAAGCUAGGGUAGCGAACGGGAUUAGAUACCCCAGUAGUCC